UUACUACUCCCUCCAUCCCAAAAUUCAUGUCUUAGAUUUGUCUAGAUACAGAUGUAUCUAAUACUAAAAUGUGACAUGAUACAUUCGUAUUUAGACAAAUCUAAGACAUGAAUUUUGGGACGGAGGGAGUAUAAU
rnacentral:pre_miRNA from 1 species